UAAGGCCAGAAUUAUUUUCACAUCAUAUGACUACAAGGAAGCUAGACGUAAACUAGCUCUAGCUGUUGAUCACACUGACGUUGAUCAGACCAAUGGAGGGAACUCACCGAUUACAUUUCAAAGAAAAAGAAAAUCCAAGAACAUUCUUUUUCCUGGUGAAGACGAUGAUAAUGAGAUGGAAGAACACCUGAAAGAACCAAAGUCAAAAAAAGGAAAACAUUCCAUACCUGAUGCUCCAAAAAUUGCUAGACAGCACAACAGAUUAGAUCCAGGAAAGCCAAGCUGCCCUAAGCUCUGCCACAGUACUCCUGACCUCCCCAAUGAUGAGAUGGAAGGCAUUAAAGGAACAAAAUCAAGAAAAAGAGGUAUGCCUUACCUAAUGCUCCAGCGAUCACUAGGGAACAGAUUUCUCCUGCAGUAGACAACCUCCACCCAAGUGGCCAAGGCAGUAGUGACCUUCGUCGACACAGCCAA